ACGGGUGAGUAACACGUGGGAACGUGCCCUUCGGUUCGGAAUAACUCAGGGAAACUUGAGCUAAUACCGGAUGCGCCCUUAUGGGGAAAGGUUUACUGCCGAAGGAUCGGCCAGCGUCUGAUUAGCUUGUUGGUGGGGUAACGGCCUACCAAGGCGACGAUCAGUAGCUGGUCUGAGAGGAUGAUCAGCCACACUGGGACUGAGACACGGCCCAGACUCCUACGGGAGGCAGCAGUGGGGAAUAUUGGACAAUGGGCGCAAGCCUGAUCCAGCCAUGCCGCGUGAGUGAUGAAGGCCUUAGGGUUGUAAAGCUCUUUUGUCCGGGACGAUAAUGACGGUACCGGAAGAAUAAGCCCCGGCUAACUUCGUGCCAGCAGCCGCGGUAAUACGAAGGGGGCUAGCGUUGCUCGGAAUCACUGGGCGUAAAGGGCGCGUAGGCGGCCGAUUAAGUCGGGGGUGAAAGCCUGUGGCUCAACCACAGAAUUGCCUUCGAUACUGGUUGGCUUGAGACCGGAAGAGGACAGCGGAACUGCGAGUGUAGAGGUGAAAUUCGUAGA
rnacentral:rRNA from 1 species